GCAUAAACGUUUAUUAAGGUGAUCUCUUCUUAUAGAAUGAAUUCUUUGAUCACCAUGUGGUGUCCUUCUUCAUCUCUUUUAAUAUUUUUCAUGUCAAAGUCUAUAGUAUCUGAUAUAAGAAUGGCUAC